CGACGCUGGCGGCAGGCUUAACACAUGCAAGUCGAGCGCCCCGCAAGGGGAGCGGCAGACGGGUGAGUAACGCGUGGGAACGUACCUUUUGCUACGGAAUAACUCAGGGAAACUUGUGCUAAUACCGUAUGUGCCCUUCGGGGGAAAGAUUUAUCGGCAAAGGAUCGGCCCGCGUUGGAUUAGCUAGUUGGUGAGGUAAAGGCUCACCAAGGCGACGAUCCAUAGCUGGUCUGAGAGGAUGAUCAGCCACACUGGGACUGAGACACGGCCCAGACUCCUACGGGAGGCAGCAGUGGGGAAUAUUG
rnacentral:rRNA from 1 species